ACAGGGCCCUCUUGGAGUUAUGGGUUGAAUUUCUUUUUACUGUUUUUCCUCCUUCUGCAGAACCGCCAACUGGUCAAGGAUGGCUUCUUGGUGGAGGUGGCCGAAGGGUCUCGGAAGCUGCGCCACGUUUUCCUUUUUACAGACGUUUUGCUCUGCGCCAAGUUGAAGAAAACGGGCGUCGGGAAACACCAGCAGUACGAGUGCAAGUGGUACGUCCCUCUGGCCGAGCUGGUCUUCCCGUCCUUGGAAGAGUCCGACCUGUGUCCACACGUCCAGGCUAUGCCUGACCACGACCUGGAGGAUAUGAAGAUCAAGAUCUCCUCCAUGAAGAGCGAAGUGCAGAAGGAGAAGGCCAACAAAGGCCAGAGCCGAGCCAUGGAGCGUCUCAAGAAGAAAAUGUUCGACAACGAGUUUUGGCUCCUGCUCAACUCGCCCUCCAUCCCCUUGCGGAUCCACAACCGCAACGGCAAGGUAAGGCCGGCCGAGUAGAGAUUG